GAUGAACGCUGGCGGCGUGCUUAACACAUGCAAGUCGAACGGAGAUGCUCCAGCUUGCUGGAGUGGAUCAGUGCCGAACGGGUGAGUAACACGUGAGCAACCUGCCCCAGACUGUGGGAUAAGCGCUGGAAACGGCGUCUAAUACUGGAUACGAAACUGGCCCGCAUGGGCAUGGUUUGGAAAGUUUGUCGGUUUGGGAUGGGCUCGCGGCCUAUCAGCUUGUUGGUGAGGUAAUGGCUCACCAAGGCGACGACGGGUAGCCGGCCUGAGAGGUCGAACAGCCACAAGAGGACUGAGAGACGGCCCAGUCGCCAACGUUACGCAAAAGUCGGGAAUAUUGCACAAUGAGCGAAAGUGUGAUGCAGCGGCGUCGGGUGAGGAAUGACGGCCUUCGGGGUGUAAACCUCUUUCUACAGGGAAAAACCGAAAGUGACGGUACCUGCAGAAGAAGCACCGGCUAACUACGUG
rnacentral:rRNA from 1 species